rnacentral:rRNA from 1 species
GAUGAACGCUGGCGGCGUGCCUAAUACAUGCAAGUCGAGCGAACAGACGAGGAGCUUGCUCCUCUGACGUUAGCGGCGGACGGGUGAGUAACACGUGGAUAACCUACCUAUAAGACUGGGAUAACUUCGGGAAACCGGAGCUAAUACCGGAUAAUAUAUUGAACCGCAUGGUUCAAUAGUGAAAGACGGUUUUGCUGUCACUUAUAGAUGGAUCCGCGCCGCAUUAGCUAGUUGGUAAGGUAACGGCUUACCAAGGCAACGAUGCGUAGCCGACCUGGGAGGGUGAUCGGCCACCCUGGAAGUGAGCAACGGCCAUGAGUCUGAGGGAAGGCAGAGGUAGGGAAUCUUCCGAAAUGGGGGAAAGCUUGCGGGAGCAACGCCGCGUGGGUGAUGAAGGUCUUCGUACGGUAAAACUCUGUUAUUAGGGAAGACCAAAUGUGUAAGUAACUAUGCACGUUUGAAGGUAACCUAUUAAGAAAGCCACGGUUACUUAGGU